CAAGACUCUAACCCAGGUCUGCUCUUCUCAUGGCAAUGGUACAAAACCCAACUACCCAAACAUAUCCCAGCCACUGGUCAUGUCACACCUGUCAGCAUUCCACUGACCAAGCUGGCUGUGAUUUGUGACUUCACAUCCCCCCUUGAUGGCUGGAGCCAAGUGGAUCAAGCUUGCGGAGAGCCUGGCAUGGAAACGUACGGCUGAGACCUUAGAGAGGCUGCCCCUUCCCAGGGCUAGCCAGUUUCUACAGAUUGGAAACCACUCCU